rnacentral:miRNA from 1 species
CCAGUUGCAGCUACAGCAGCAGCAGCAACAGCAGCAACAACAGCAGCAGCAACAGCAGCAGCUGUACGCG